AUUGAACGCUGGCGGCAGGCCUAACACAUGCAAGUCGAACGAGUGGCGGACGGGUGAGUAAUGUCUGGGAAACUGCCCUAUGGAGGGGGAUAACUACUGGAAACGGUAGCUAAUACCGCAUACCCUCGGAUGUGCCCAUAUGGGAUUAGCUCGUAGGUGGGGUAAAGGCUCACCUAGGCGACGAUCCCUAGCUGGUCUGAGAGGAUGACCAGCCACACUGGAACUGAGACACGGUCAAGACUCCUACGGGAGGCAGCAGUGGGGAAUAUUGCACAAUGGGCGCAAGCCUGAUGCAGCCAUGCCGCGUGUAUGAAGAAGGCCUUCGGGUUGUAAAGUACUUUCAGCGGGGAGGCGUUACCCGCAGAAGAAGCACCGGCUAACUCCGUGCCAGCAGCCGCGGUAAUUC
rnacentral:rRNA from 1 species